GGAUGGAUGGCCGAGUGGUUAAGGCGCUGUGUUCAGGAAAGGCUCUCGGAGCUUGGAGUGACUCGCAGUGAGAAAUCGCGUGGGUUCGAAUCCCACUCCAUUCA